rnacentral:rRNA from 1 species
UACAGAGGUGGCAAGCGUUGUUCGGAAUUACUGGGCGUAAAGGGCGCGUAGGCGGCUCUUUAAGUCCCGUGUGAAAGCCCCCGGCUCAACCGGGGAACUGCACGGGAAACUGGAAGGCUUGAGUUCGGGAGAGGGAAGCGGAAUUCCGGGUGUAGCGGUGAAAUGCGUAGAUAUCCGGAGGAACACCAGUGGCGAAGGCGGCGAUCUGGGCAGAUACUGACGCUGAGGUGCGAAAGCGUGGGGAGCAAACAGG